CUCUGAGCAGCAAAAAGAAACAACUGAUAAACCUGCAGGAGGAGACGGUGAAGCAUCAGAGACGAAUAAAAGAGUUGCAUGCUGCCUUCACUUCUAACCAGUCGACUGUUCACCAGAUAAUUAAUGACUUCAGUGGAAGUCUGGGUCCUAAUGAGCAGCUCCAGACUGUGGCUCAGAUUCAGGAGACUCUUCAUCAGCAGGUUGAACAGGUGAACUU